GUGUUCUCUUCAGCAGCACACACGCUAACAUUGGAAUGAGACAGAGAAGAAUAGCAUGGCCCCUGCAUAAGAAUGUCACACAAAUUCAUGAAAUGUUCCACAUUUUA
ensembl:snRNA U6 U6 spliceosomal RNA